rnacentral:lncRNA from 1 species
GCAACUAGAACAGUAACCUUGGCCUGGCAGCCCCUGCCCUCAAUUUUUCUUUCCCUUCAUUCACUCAGACAUCUCUGCCUUUUCUUUUUCAAAUACCUUCUUGCUUUCCACAAGAUAAAAGAAUUAAAGCUUGUUUCAUGAAGCCAGAAAUGAGUUAACUUUAGAAUUUGGUAUUCUACGAUGGUUGACAUUUUUAAAUGUGGUUUUUUUGAAUGUCCACCUCUCCAUUUCUGAACAGAUACAGGUUGCAUGUUUUCAAAAAAAGUCAAUUAAAAUCAUACUCCUUUCUGUUUAUCAUUUUGGAAAACCUGGGAAUUCCUUUGAGGAAACCUUUCUGUGAAACUCAGGUCAAGGGUCCCUAUUCUAAGGUCUACUUGAGCUGGCGGCCCCUGAUCCCACUUCUCUGGGCUGCCCUGCUGCACGGAAGGUGAGUGACAAUGGAGUCAAGCAUCCAGGACAAAAGAGGCACCUUAGUCCUGAUGCUGUUUUUCUCCCAGGUAAAAUGAGAAAUCCUCCCCUCUCCCGGAAGCACUGUCCUCUCUGAACAUGACAUUAACUUCCACAAACGAGCCUGAUGGUAAAAGGGGUGAUUAGCUAGAUAGGCCUUAACAGCUGGGCUCCAGGAGCUGGCAGCGGGCUGGGGGAGGGGCACUAUCAGGCACUGGGUCCUGUAGUUCUAUCAACAGCAGCGGCAGCAGCAGCAGCCAGCAGCCGCAGAUGAAAAGCUUCUAGAGGUGGGGGCAGGGGAGCGCCCAGAUUGUAAACAUCUCUUGCCUGUUGCCUAGAAGCAGUGGCAGCAAACAAUCCAAAGACUGCUCCUAGAUUUUCAAAAUUUCCUUUAUACGCAGGGCUCUGUUUCUUUUUAAAAUAUGCGGCCAUUUUAGAAGGUCAUCAGCCCACAUGUGAUGCUGUGCGUCUAUUUUGUCUAUUUUAAUAAUUUUCUAGCCACCACAUGGAGUUGCUUGCCUAGAGUGGUCAAUUAUUUAACGAAACCUUAUUAUACAUUAAUUCUGGGACUUUUUUAAGCCGUUUAAUGACUUGUGUAUACUAAGCACUCAUAUUUAUAAGAAUCAAUGGAAAUUUAAAAAUAUACUGCUUGGUUUAUAGGGAAAAUUUGAUAAUUUCUGACAGUUCUGAAACGAGCAGUGAUGAAGGGCGGGAGUCGUGUAUUAUACAUUGGUUGAAAAUGUGAUAACAGCAAUGUUAUAAGAUGUCCUGCAGAAAUGAACUAGGAAAUAGCGCCCAGACACACACAUACACAUAUACACAGCAAGAAAAGGGCAGGGAGGGAACAGUGGAAGAUUUUAAUUAACUACGCAUAGGACAGGAUUACAUCAAGUGGAGGAAAUAGGGCUGGAUCUGGUGCAAAGCUGCUUUCUAAUUUAAUGUGUACAUCAAACUGAAAAGGAAGGAAAGAAUGCCAGGUUCACAAUUAAAUAAUGUUUAGAACUCAAAGGAAAGAGACUAUGGAAAGCAGUGACUAAAUCUCAUUAAGUGUAUGAUUUAAUCCCACACUGAAGCUAGAGGUGUUUGGAGACAACAUAGAAAUUUGGGAAGACAGAAAAUAAAAUGCAGCAUAUAAUCAUGAAUUCAGAAAGAGACAGACCACUGAAUUAAGGUCAGGGUAAAUAGCAGGGAAGUGGUUUUUAAAAACACAGCAUCACCCAGAAUGCCAGUCCCACUAAUAAGUGGUAAAUUUGUUUAGCGUUGUACAAGAUCAAAGUGGAAAAGGAGUGACUCGAGAUGAUGCAGCAAAAAAGGGCUCCCAACCCUUUUCCAAGAUGCAAAAAUUUUAAAGAAAUAGAAAAAUAAAUCCUCUAUACUUGGAAAGGAACUCUAAAAGGGCCUUGGAGAGAAAAAGAACCAAAAAAAAUGGUCAAGUUUGAGGACAAACUUCUUUUAUGACAGUAAAAGCAUACAUCCCAGCAAGGCUUCCAUAGGACCAUUAAGGGGACGAGUGGGAAGUCGGUGACGGAUGAGGCUGCCUUUGCUGAGAGCCUAAAUGAAUUCUCUGCCUGCCUGUUUACCAGAGAAGCUGAAGGUCAAGUCCCGGAAAUCAGGAUACAUUUUCUUGAGGGGAAAAGUGAAAUGUUAAAAGGAUUUUAUGAUCACGCAAGAGCAGAUAGUUGGGCAAUUAGAACUAUUAAAAGUUGACAGGUCAUAAGACCCAGAUUAAGUAUGUCAUAGAAAUCAGAGAGAAGUGCAAAGGAAACAGGAAAUGCCUUUAGCAGUGUCUCUUGAUAUCUUGCUGGGAAGGAGACGGAAGGAUCGAUAGAGCUGGAAGCUAUUCUAGGACUAGGUAUUGAAAAGAAAUCCUUGGCCUCCUUAGAAAUCUAGCCCCCAAUCAUCAGAGUCAAAGUUACAAAGCAACUGGUGCCCACUUUCAUUUUGCAUUUUUUGGAAAUACAUAAUCUAGUGAAGAGUUAAUAUUGGCUUUAUGAAUCACAAAUAAUUGGCAUUUUCAUAAUAAUGAGGCAUUGAUAUACUCAACCUUCAACACAGGUGAAAAUAGAGGUCACUUAAUUGGGUCUACAUUUCUUGGGUUAUUUCUCAGAGGGUUUCAUUUGUAAUCUUCAUUAAAUGAAGCGGUAUGAGAGUAAAUCCAGACUAUCCAAAGACUGAAUGCAAUGUGCAUAUAUGAAAUGGAAAGGGAAACCUUUGGAAAUUAUUGUCCAUUGCUGCUUUCAUCAUCAUCAUCACCAUCCAGUUACGAUUAUUAAAUGCAUACCUUGUGCAACACUAUAGCCAGGGAAUGUUUGGGGUGAGGAGUCAUUCUCUCACUGUCCCAGGAACUGAAUUAUUUCUCAAUGAUUCAUCUCAUGUCUUUUGUUGUUGUCCUACCAACUGUCAUGGCGCCAUAUUAUUUUUAAAGGCAACAAAUAAAAAAUACUUUCUGAGGAUGUGCCUACAGUGGACUAGUGCUCCACCCAUCAGUCUCCUGCUGUAUUUCCAAGAACCAAUCAAAAUAACAUAAAUAUUCACAGAACUGGGAUGUUAAACUUGGAAGGACAAGUAGCGUUACUUAAUGGUCAUUGAUGACUGACUUGAAAGCUGCAUUUUCUUUUCCUUUUGUCCUUCCUCUUCUCCCUGUUCCUUUUUCUGUCUGCCUGCAAAUGUUCAUUGGAUCUCCUACACCAGACAGUAAGAUUUAAGAAUAAUAGCAUGCAAACAUGAAUUUCUGCCCUUCAAUGAUUAUCAGAGUAGUGGCAAAAUUGACGGCGGGAUAGGAGCAAAAAAGGGUACAAAACCCAGUAUCUAGAACAAUUUGAGGAAGCACAUACCACAGCCAUAGACUAGUCAAAGGGAGGGUGGGUCACGGAAGGAAACAAGAGGAGUUAACCAAGUGAAGAAAUGAGAAAGGAUGCUGUAAACAUAAAGAGUAUAUUUACAAAGGUUUAGAGAGGAGGCAAUGCAGUGAACUGAGAAAUGAUGUGACAAGUUUUUUCUCUCAUUUCGUAUUUGUACGUUUCUUUCCUACCAAUCCCUACCACUCAAACUACAUUUAUUACUGAAUUUAAUUUCUUAUAUCUUCUUAAGGCGAAAGGAGCAAAAGCAGAAAGUAGAAGUGGAGAGCUGAGUGAUUUAGAAAAAGAACAUCAUAGAAAUGUUCAUAUAUUUCAGAAAUAACAUGCACCUUAGUUUUAACCUCUUUGUUAGUAACCGAGAAGGAUAUACUUCAAAAGUGAAAUUUUCGUGGCUUAUCAAAAAAGUAAGGGUGGUGACACAUGGUUGACUAUCAUUCUCUGCGGAGCUAAAAAAGAGCGGGAAUAGUUCAUGCAAGACACAGGAAAAUCACAUAGCGAGGGCUAGCUAUACCCACAUGGAAUAAGGAGAGCACGGUGGGAAAUAUGGACCAGAGUAAUAGCAUGAAGUUAUGGUUCACAUGGAAGUAAUACUUGCUAAUUUUUCUUAGCAAGCAAUCCCAUUAGAAACUGGUGAAAUCAUUCCUGUAAAUCACUGCCUUCUAGUUUUAAAUCUGUAUUGAGAUUCAAGAUCUGGACACACACCCACUGUUGCUCUUCCUGUGCCUACUACAGAGCUCUGGCCAGGAGACUGGCUUUUCACUGAUCACAUUAACUUCCUUCUUUAUUUACUGCUGGAAUCCACAGUCACUGUACUACUCACAUUCCUUAAUAUUCAUGAAUAGCAGCAAGCAGGACUCUCAGAAGAUGGUAUGAUUUUUAGUCUCCCCUUCCAUCUUCCACAUUUUGCUCAUUAUUGCACUACUUUUCCUAUCACAGUGUCUCAAACCCUGUGUGAAGAGAUACCUCUAAUAAUCAUUUAUGCACAGUUUAUGGUAUGCCAGCUUUACCUGGGUUUUUCUUACUUCAGUCAUCACUAAUUAUAGAAGACAAAUCUUUAUUGUUAAAUGAGAGGAAAGCAAACUGAUUAGAUGAUGGGCAUUUGCCUGGAAGGAAGUAGGGAUAGGAAAGAAGAUGCCAUGGAACUUAUGAGAGGCCCUGUAUCUAUGACAUUAAAAAUAAAAAACACCUAGUACCUCAUUGGCCAUAAUCUUGGAGUGGGGUUCAGGACACAUUGGCCACUAUUGGUUUUAUUGCUGGAUCACAGGGUAGCCAUGUUUGUAAAUCAAACAUGAAAGCAACUUACUUUACUCACCUGACUUAGAAAGUAGGCUCUUCACUGAAAAGAAAAAAUUUUUUUGCAUGCAGGCUAUGCCUUUCUGUGUUCAUUUGUCUGAUUUCAAAGCCAGAAUCAGUUAUACCAAAUAGUAUGAAAGUUUUAAAAAUGAUAUAUCUAAUGAUUAAUUGAUUUGCCAAUAAAAAUAGGGUUUGUGUGUCACUUGAAUUCUCAAGGAGGUAGCAGAGGAGUAAAAUAUAUCAAUUGAUCAAUGCAUAUAUAUGAUUAAGAACACUGAGCUGAUUUCAGCAAAUUGGAGCUCUGGGCCAAGAGCUGCCCUUGACUUCUGGCAAAUCAAUUAAAAUUCAUCUCUAUCUACUUGCCAUUUUUACCUUAAAAAUGGAAACAAAAAUUCUCUCCCUACGCAAACAAUCGCUGAAAUAAAAGAGAUGAACCUUUAAGAUAACUUUGAAGUAAGUACCUGUGACAAAAUUGUUACUUGAAAGCAAUGACACACAUGGAAAGAAGCCCUAGAAGUAUUUGUGAAACAAAUACAAAUUUCUGGAAAUAAUACUUGGAUAAAUUAAAAAAGAAUCUCUUGGCAGGAAUGGAAACCUCAAGUUGAACUGCUAGAGUAAAAGUACUUGAAGCACUGACACAUACUUGCUAUGGUUUCUGAAGGAAAAGGAUCCAUUAUGAGGGACAGCUUUUCAGGGUCGGCAUAUCAUUCCUACCUCCCCCUUAUUGGCAGCCCUGGCUCUCACUGCUACUGAUAAGGCAAGAUUCCAGAAUGAUGCUUUAGUAUCUGUAUGUUGGUUUCUUCAAAAUAAGUUUUUUCAUCACUGUGGUCAUUUUACUAUCUUCCAAAUUUAUAGUUUUUUCAGAGAUAUUGGACCCACUUUAAUUUGACCAAGCAACAACUUAUUUUCAGAUAUUGAAUGAUAUGUACAUUACAAAAAAGAAAUCAUGUGUUCAAAGCCUAUACGUGAUUAAAGUUGAUUUAGAAAUAUUUUCAAAAUAACAAAUUCUCCAUAAUCUGUAGUAUCUGGAUAUAUAUAUUUCUAUUUCAACUUACAGCUCCAGAUGUCAAGUAGUUAUGAAGUGCCUAUGCAAUUUAUAGAUACAUCUAAGAAUUCAAAGAAUAAUAUUAGAAAAGCAAUUCAUAACCAUAUUCUAAGAAAAUAGCUAGGAAUAGUCUGUGAGCAAUGGGAAAAAAAAUCAAGUUGAAUAAGUUUAUUAAUGUGAACCAAAGUUGAUUUUAAAGACCAUUGAUACAGACUUGCUUACACACAAAUACACACACACACACCCCAUUUGGGUUGCAUGCUGUGCUAUUUUAAACUUAAUUCUAAUUUGUAUGUGACAUGGUUGUAAGCAGCUUUGAAAUUAAGCAAAGCAUGGAGUUCCCGUCAUGGAGCAGUGGUUAACGAAUCUGACUAGGAACCAUGAGAUUGCAGGUUCGAUCACUGGCCUUGCUCAGUGUGUUAAGGACCCGGUGUUGCCGUGAGCUGUGGUGUAGGUUGCAGACGUGGCUCGGAUCCUGCAUUGCUAUGGCUCUGGCAUAGGCCAGCGGCUACAGCUCUGAUUCGACCCUUAGGCUGGGAACCUCCAUAUACCAUGGGAGCCGCCCUAGAAAAGGC